rnacentral:rRNA from 1 species
AUGACUACCUUGGAUACGACCAAAAAUAUUGCAUACAUGCAUAUUUGUCAGGUGAUUUCUAGUGCAAACUAUUCAAUAAUCUAUUUAGGUUAUUCAGAACAAAAAUACUUCACACACUUUUGUGUUUUGUCUAAUUGCAGGUGUAUGGGACAUUUGUACAAUCCACAUAUGAAGAUAAGGCAAAAGGAGAAGUUUAGGUUCUGUUCAAAAAGUCCUCUCACGUCACUUUUGGGCCAAGAGAAGAUAGAGUCCAAGUCUCUCACGUUCUGGAUUCAGAUUCGGACUGCACAGACAUACCUGACUCAAAACGCCAACAACUUUUUCAUACGGACUCCGAAUUGGGUGAUUCUUUUUUUGUUGGAAACUAGAUUUCGUGCUCUUUCCAACCCAAUUGGAUUCACCUUUAAAUUCGUCCGGAGCAUUGAGUUAUGGUCGAAACAAUCUGACGUUGCACCAGAAUCCGAGUCAAACUACAAGUCCAAAGGUGUUGCAUCACCUCCACUUGGGUCCAUGAGCCUUGUACAACUUAGGGUUGGUUUUAGGCUGCCUUGGGACGUCCUCCCACCUCCUUGGCCGCCACCCCUUGCUCCUAUAUAA